rnacentral:rRNA from 1 species
CCUACGGGUGGCAGCAGUGAGGAAUAUUGGUCAAUGGACGAGAGUCUGAACCAGCCAAGUAGCGUGAAGGAUGACUGCCCUAUGGGUUGUAAACUUCUUUUAUAUGGGAAUAAAAUGUUCCACGUGUGGGAUUUUGUAUGUACCAUAUGAAUAAGGAUCGGCUAACCCCGUGCCAGCAGCCGCGGUAAUACGGAGGAUCCGAGCUUUAUCCGGAUUUAUUGGGUUUAAAGGGAGCGUAGGUGGAUUGUUAAGUCAGUUGUGAAAGUUUGCGGCUCAACCGUAAAAUUGCAGUUGAAACUGGCAGUCUUGAGUACAGUAGAGGUGGGCGGAAUUCGUGGUGUAGCGGUGAAAUGCUUAGAUAUCACGAAGAACUCCGAUUGCGAAGGCAGUUCACUGGACUGCAACUGACACUGAGGCUCGAAAGUGUGGGUAUCAAACAGGAUUAGAUACCCUAGUAGUC